CGAUCUACUCUGUCGUGGGGNAUAACGUAGGGAAACUUACGCUAAUACCGCAUACGACCUACGGGUGAAAGCAGGGGAUCUUCGGACCUUGCGCGAUUGAAUGAGCCGAUGUCGGAUUAGCUAGUUGGCGGGGUAAAGGCCCACCAAGGCGACGAUCCGUAGCUGGUCUGAGAGGAUGAUCAGCCACACUGGAACUGAGACACGGUCCAGACUCCUACGGGAGGCAGCAGCU
rnacentral:rRNA from 1 species